AGUGAACGCUGGCGGUAGGCCUAACACAUGCAAGUCGAACGGUAGAACAGUAAGAGCUUGCUCUUACGGGUGGCAAGUGACGGACGGGUGAGGCAUACAUCGGAAGCUACUUUUCCGUGGGGGAUAUCUGAGGGCAACUUACGCUAAUACCUCAUACGAUCUACGAGUGAAAGCAGGUUUUCUUCAUACCAUUCCAUAACGCAUGGGCGAACGUCGGUUUAGCUAGUUGGGUGGUUAAAGGCCCACCAAGGCAACCGUCGGUAGCUGGUCUGCGAGGAUGACCGGCCACACGGGAACUGAAACCCGGUCCAGACCCCUACGGGAGGCAGCAGAGGGGAAUAUUGGACAAUGGGCGAAAGCCGGAUCCGGCACUACCGCGUGGUUGAAGAAGUCCUUCGGGUUGUAAAGUCCGUUUGUUGGGAAAGAAAAGCAGGAGGUUAAUACCUCGAUGUUCUGACGGUACCCAACGAAUAAGCAACGGCUAACUUCGUG
rnacentral:rRNA from 1 species